AAUGGGCGCAAGCCUGACCCAGCAACGCCGCGUGAAGGAAGACGGUCUUCGGAUUGUAAACUUCUUUUGUCAGGGACGAAUAAUGACGGUACCUGGCGAAUAAGCCACGGCUAACUACGUGCCAGCAGCCGCGGUAAUACGUAGGUGGCAAGCUUUGUCCGGAUUUACUGGGUGUAAAGGGCGAGUAGGCGGAUUUGCAAGUCAGGUGUGAAAGCCCGGGGCUUAACGCCGUGUCUGAAUUUGAAACUGCGGAUCUUGAGUAUCGGAGAGGCAGGCGGAAUUCCCGGUGUAGCGGUGGAAUGCGUAGAUAUCGGGAGGAACACCAGUGGCGAAGGCGGCCUGCUGGACGACAACUGACGCUGAGGAGCGAAAGCGUGGGGAGCAAA
rnacentral:rRNA from 1 species